rnacentral:rRNA from 1 species
AGGACGAACGCUGGCGGCGUGCUUAACACAUGCAAGUCGAGCGGUAAGGCCUUUCGGGGUACACGAGCGGCGAACGGGUGAGUAACUCGUGGGUGAUCUGCCCUGCACUCUGGGAUAAGCCUGGGAAACUGGGUCUAAUACCGGAUAUGACCUGCUCUCGCAGUGGGGGUGGGUAGGAAAGAUUUAGUCGGUGCAGGAUCGGGCCCGCGGCCUAUCAGUCUUGGUUGGGUGGGUAAUCGGCCUACCGAAGGCGACGACGGGUAGCCGACCUGAGAGGGUGACCGGCCACGACGUGGGACUGAGACACGGCCCAGACCUCCGUACGGGAGCAGCAGGUGGGAAU